CUUCUUUGGUGGUCCAGCCACACCAGCCCUUAUACUUCACAGCGUGAGUGGCUGCCAGAACCUUUCCUUGUAGUGCAAGAACAACCACACUGCUGGAAGUGAAAUUUGCAAUCUGCUCUAUCAGAUGAUUUCUGCGCAUGGGCUGUUACUAUGUUCAAAGCAUUAAACUGCCUGAAAGUGGAUUAUUUACAGAGCUUCUCUCUUCCCAGAGCUACGGAUAGGUGGCAAUUCAGCCUCUUCACCCUAAUGCACACUUUCUCACUUUCCACCGAGACUCUUUGUUUGCUGACAGCAUCUGGCUAUCCUGAGUACUUGCCUUAGCUGGCACAGUUCUCUCCAAUCCCUAGAAGAAACAGCCUUCACCUACACUCCAGGGAUGAAAUAACAUUUCAGCUCAAAGCUAGCAACCUUUCUCUGAAAUGGUGUCACACCCAGACAGAAAAAUAAAUGUGCUGUUUCUUCUUAGAUGAUGAGAAGUCAGGCUUUCAGGCAGACUUUUGACACAGGGAGGAUCAAGGUUUGACUGCCUUUGAGUAAUCCUUGCAGAAAAAACAGCACCUAAUUGGACAAAGGAAGAAAGGAACCAGCUGCUACUGUCAAGAUUAUUUAAACACCCAUCCACAGUCAAAAACACUGCAUUGUUUCAUUACAAGUGAAAUUUGAUUGCCACUACAUUUCCUGCUGGCCUCCCCUCUAUGCAAAUUGGGGAGAAGAAAGAAAUUCAUAAGGCACCAGAACCCAUUUGGCUUCUAAAUGUACUGUUUGCAUAUAGACAUCAGCAGCCUGAAUAAAUCCUAGCGAGGAAUGUCAAACUGACAACACUGGCUACUUUUCUAUUGUUCUCCCUGAAAACAUCGUUUUUAACACGUUCACAAAGCCACUAAAUCUGUGUUGCUGAGUCUGCUGUUUGCAUGCAGGAAUGUGAAGGACUGCUCAAGUUGGAGAUACAAAUUGAAGCCAGCCCCAGUUCAAAACUGUUACAAAUGGAGUCUGUAGGCAUGAGGGGCUGACUAUAUAACUCAGAGUUCUCCAGUACUUUACUUUAAUAAAGAACACAAUCUUUAUUAAAGGAUAAGUAAUAAAAAUGUGUUGAUGUGCAACUUAUGGAUCUAUUAUUAAAACUCAACAGUCAUUGCAGCAAUGUUUAGAACUUAAGCAAACAAAAGUUUUGUGAGGGGGCAAUUUUAUCAAUGACAUUGUUUAGAAAUGUUGGUAGAUGGUGAUCAUAAAAAGCAGAUCAAUGUUUUAUUUCACUUGGGUUUUUAAAAAUUAUUUUUAAAAAAUU
rnacentral:lncRNA from 1 species